rnacentral:rRNA from 1 species
AUGGUCCUAGGAGCAUGGAGGCACGGUGGAUCCCGGCCUCACAGGCAAGAGGGCUUCGACCUGGACAUAUGUUGGGCAGGUAAAGUCGUUUUGUUCAAUUCUCUGGUGGUAUUGUUCAUCGCAAUAAAGAUCCAAGUCUUCAGCAGGGUGAUGUUUGUGCGAUUGAUUUAUAUUUUUCCGUGGGAAAUCUCUGAUAAUGAAGUCAAAAUUUUAUUUAUUCAAGUCAAAUUUUAUUUACUACUACGGGCCACUGCUAUUGUUAGCUCAGGUUUACUGUUGAUGGCUAUUAUGGGUCUGAUGUUUCUGAAACUGCUUGCGGCGUCACUGCAACUGCAAACACACAUAUUGUCUGUCUCCUGCGUGCCGCUCAAAAUUGAUUGUAGGCUGUGA